GUCAUCUAGAGUCCCUAUAAGCGUUCUGAUGAGUUGGCUCCUCAGGUUUUUCUGUAAGGCGACUGGCAUCUAUCCAGAGUACCUGCGCGACAGUUUCAGCAUUCAGUGGAAUAGAAUCAGACAGAAAGUGCAGGGAAGACGAGUCCUGCCCAGCGGACCAAGCUUAUGAAUUGUGAAUGGGAAAAACUAGCAACUGUGCCAAGAAGAACAAAGGGCAUCUGAGGACAGUCACUCACAGCUCGGACUAUCUAAUGUAUACUCUGCACAUGACACCCAAUUCACCGAAGAACGACGGUGAAAGAGCUCGACAGGACCACCUAGAGUUGUCAGUAAACAAUGGUUCACCCGCAAGGUCGCUGGACGCGGCAGAAAAGCUGAUGGAAAAGCUAAUUAUACGGUGCGGCUCUCCGUGGAACAGCGAUCAUUAGCACUGGCCACCAAACAUCACAUGGCAGGUGAAUUCUGAGCCCCUCUGCCCAACCUGAGAGGCACACGGAGGUGUGUGUCUCCUGUAGCAUGCGGCGGUCAUGUGGAGGGAGGAGGAAACUAAUGGAGCACGAAAAACAAAGUCUCAUGAAUGUAUAGGGUUCAUGGUCAGGCAUGUCUCGCUCGCAGGUCAUCAGCCGUGCUGCUCUCACCUCUCACCUGAUUGGCCUCUCAGUGGACUUAAACAGCCAAUCAGCAGGUUUCAGUCCAUUAACCACAAAUAAACAGAGAAAGUUCAAUAAUCCAAUAAUGCACUGUGGAGAAAAACACAGACUCUGGGAUGGCCGUCUGUUCACUGCUUUGAUAAAUACACCACAAUUGUUUUGAAAGAAAAUAUCAAACUAAAACAGAUGAUGAUCAUAAUAAUGAUAAAAGAUUAUUUUGCAUCUAUAAAAGUAUUCAUAAAAUAAGUAUUUAUAUAAAAAAAAGUUUAUUAGUUUCCACAAAAAAGAAACGAAUUAAUAAUGAUAAGACUAUUAUUAAUUCUUCUUCUUCCAUUUCUUAUUAUGUAUUUAUUUAUUUGAAUUAUUUUAUUUGUCUGACUUAUAAAUUAACACUGGCACUAAGUUAUUAAUAACGGUUAUUAUUAUCAGUGUUGAAAAAAGUAUUUACUGCAUGCGUUUUUUUUUUGGAAAACAUUGAUGAACAAAAAGGACAGCAAUUAUAUUAAAUUAAAAUCUCAAAUGUUUGUAAUGAUACUAUUAAUCAAUGUGCAUCAAUACUAAAAAAAUUAAAUAUUCAUAAAAUACAUAUAAUUUUUAUUUUUACUAAUAAAAAAUUAUACGUUUUUCACAUUUAAUCAUUUCAUUUCUAGAUGUUUAUUAAUGAAUUUCUUUAGUACUCCAGAUGCUUAUAAAGUAUGCAAAAUGUAUUAUUUAUAUACAAAAAAGCUACAAUAUGAAUAAAACUACACUGAAAGAAAAAUAUGAAUUAUUAUUAUUAUUAUUUUAUUAGAAAAUCAAUUGCAUUCAUUUCAUAAUACACACAUUUAAAAGUCUUUUUAUGUGCUAAAUAAAUCUUUGACCUGUGAUCUGAUAUAAUAAGUGCAGCAAAUAAUUCAGUUUGGAAAUGGUAAGGUCAAAGCAAAGAUCUAGAACUUAAUACGUCUCCAAAACAAAAUGGAUAACAUUGAUUUUGUCUGUGAUUAAUUUUUAGAAAUGCAGAGAGCACAGAAUGUUUUGUAUUAGAAGAAGAGGUCCUCGAAGUCUUUCUUUUCAGGCUUUAAGAGUCCAGCAUGUGAGAGUGGACUAACUGCAAGGCCGAGACGGGAGAGAGAGCUUACUGUACAUGCAACAGCUUCACGGACACAAAGACUCACACAGAGCCGCUUCAAUUCAAUUCAACUAGACCAUGAAUGGACGAGAUGAAAGGGGGAAAUAAUAUAAUGGCCAUUUAAGUGCAUUGGAAAGACGGACAUGAAAUGGCCCUACAACAACCUUUCGAUGAGUUUUUCAGAUGCAUUAUUGAGCUAUUCUAAGGUUCACUGGGCAGCUCAUGUUUUCCAAAAUGGCAACUGCUUAACACGUGGAUUGACUCGUUACAUCGGUACAGCGGACCGAUCCAAGCCUCCCUGUGGGGGUGUGUGUAAGGAGGAUAAAAAGUAUGUAAAAAAAAAGGCAAUAGCUAAACAUUUAUUCCUGUUAUCCACGGUGUAAUAGGGCAUGUCA